rnacentral:ncRNA from 1 species
CAAACGGCCCUUUUCAGGGCCACAAAUUUGUUACAGAAAGAGUCCU